GCGGGAGUAGCUCAGAAGGCAGAGCAUCUCCUUGCCAAGGAGAAGGCCGCGGGUUCAAGUCCCGUCUCCCGCUCCA
rnacentral:tRNA from 1 species